UCUUCCUUCUCCACCUUCUUUUCAUUUUCUUAUUUUUUUUUCCUACAAAGGGGCAUCUUUUUUUCUACCCUUGAAACCCCCAGUCUUCAGUCUAGAGAUUAAGAAUGAUUUUUGGCUUAGGUCUGGCAUUUUGGCUUUUUCCUGUGCAUUGCUGUUUGCCGACUCCACAACUUUGCAAUGUCUUUUUUUUUUUUUGGUAAAGCAAACAGGACAGCAUAAACUAUGGAGAAUUUAUUAAUAAAAUUUCAAGAAGUCAACUCAGCAUAUAUUGAAUAACGAAAUUUGGAAUGUUUUCCCUAUUGUUGCACAGUUCCUGCCAGGCAGCCUUGGCCCGAGUGCCUGAGCCCAGCUUGCCCUGUGCGGUUUGAGGCCUUUAACUCUGAGGCAGGUCAUUAACCGGCUGGUGAAGCAGCAGCACAUUGUUCUGUUAUUUUCAAACCACAACAGCCUCUGUGGAAUCCAAGAGCCAUAAAAACGUAGUUCUGAUGUUGCCUGACAGAAGCAUAAUUCAUGUACUCUAUAAUUUAAAGGGAUUUCGAUGCAAUUGUAAAACUAAUAAAAAAUGAAUUCCUUUUGGGAAACACUGGUACCUUGUUUAAUCAAUUGAUUCUACUAAUUUUAAAAUACAAUCAGCCUGGUAGCUCUGUGUAUGUGUGUGUGUGUGUGUGUGUGUGUGUGUGUGUGUGUGUGUGUGUGUAGAUAAGUAAGAUUAAAUCUGAUGCCAGUAGUUUCAAGUACGUAACAUCACUGUUGGAUGAAAAGAAAAAAAAAGAAGAGAGGAAAAAGAAAAAAAAUCCUAGAACAAUUUAUGGCCUGUAGCCAGUAACAAAGUGUUUCUCCCUGUGCCUUUUUAUCAUUUUCCCCCCAAAAGUUGAUUAUGCCUAAGUUAAAAAAAAAAAAAAAGUUUUGGUACGUUGCUAGAAGGUUUAGAUUUCAGCCUGGAUUUAAAAAAAAAAAACAAAAAAACCUCAAAUGAAAGGCUCUUUUUAAUCAGAUAAUUGACCAGCCCGUAAUUUUAGCCUGUCUGUGACACACCAUUUGGCAGGUACAGAGGUACGCAGCCCUGGGCCUUCGCCUCUCUUCCCCUCCCCCCGGGACUGUCAUUGAGCUCCCUGUCUUGCUGCUUGUCCCCAGAGACACCCCCAAACAUUUUGAAGUUCAGGAGAGCCAGCUGUCAAAGGGGACCACGCAGAUGGCACAAAAGGGACUCCAGCCCUCCAUCACCCCACCUGGGGGAAAAAGUAGCAGCUCUCCCCCCUGCAACUCCACAGCUGUCUCAGAUCUAGAGCAUUCGUGUUUCAAAUGGAUCCCCGGUUUCCUGAAAUCUUGGCUCUAAAAUUGUUUAGGAGGCUUUGGUGGGGCUUUGCAUACAAGCACAUUAACUCUUCUAUUUUAAUUCCCCCCGACAUGAGUAAUGGCAGCUCGAGAAUGCCCUCUACAAUGUCACGUCACAAAAGGCUCGGAAAAUUAUCCCUUCCCCCUAUUGUCUGUCUGUUUUCUUUUAUUCCUUCUCUACUCAUCACGUUCGCUGGCAGCCAUGAAUGAAAUGUAACAUGCUAAAUGACUGACAUCCAUUAAAGCUCCUCGACAAACCUUGGGCCGUGUUUUGAAAGGCCCCUGGAAGAAAAAGGAUUGUGUGCUCUUUGAAUCUUGCUCUGCUGAACGGCUGCCAAGUGAGGGCUGCCCCAUUCAAAGGGCUGAGUGAAUAAAUGAGAAUAACAUCCUUGGGGACCCGCAGGAUCAGUUUACUCCGAAAAUGCUCAGCUUCACAAAGGGUCAGAGUCACAAGAACUUUGGACUUGCCACAUGACUUGUGUUGGCCAUUAGGACAUUAUUGAACAUGACAAGAGCAGAGGCUUGAAGUAUGGGCUAAACCUCUGAACUCCAGUCUUUGGCCAUGAGAAGACCAUGCCUUGAAUAACCACUGGCACAAGGAAGAUGAAAGACAUGAGUUGAAGAUCUGGAUUCAACCCACUGCUUGGAGCAAGCCCAGUCAAGCCCAGGCUAUAUCAGCCAAACCUCAGAAAAGAAAUAAAUGUUUAUCGUGGCAUGUCACUAUGUGGCUAUUUGCAGCAACAGCAGACUGAUACAACAUCGAACCCUUAGUCAUGGGAGAGUGUGCCCAUGUCAAUAAAUGUUUCCGACCAACCUCAUAAUCUACUUCCUUUAUAUUUUGCUCCUUCUAGUCCUAUAUCUUUAAACCACACCCACAUAUGUCUCCUGGUCCCUGCCCUUAUAUUUUUGCCAGGUUCAGAAAUUUUUUGGUGUGUAAGAUAUUUUGUCUCAAAGUAGGGACUAUAUUGAUAUAAAUGCUUACUGUGAAUUAGGCCCUCAUAAACUUUCAUACAUUCUUUCACUUAAUCUUCCCAAUACCUCUGUAGGCUGGCUAACUUAUCCUCAUGUUUAAAAUAAGGAAAAUCAAUAUACAAAGAUGAAAUAACUUGUACAUGGUCUCAGCCAAUAGGUGGUAGAGCCAGGAUUUGAAUAAUUGGGUCCGUUUGACUUCAAAGGCUAUACAAUGAUACGCGGUAUGCCACGGACAUGAAAAUGAAUGGAGUGCAGAGACAGUUUCUCAUUUUACAAAGAUUAUUAAAAACCAAUUUAUUGUAAUUAAAUGGAAAUUAAAAAGAAAAUAAUUACAGGCGUUGGGGGAAAGAUACCUUUAUUAGAAACUGACAAGGUUUAAAGCGUGAGGUAUAAUGACAGGUGUAACCCACACAGACAGGGACAGUCAUGACCAUGGUGGGAAAGAAAUCAAGGUUACUGAACACCUAUUGCGUUCCAGAUGCUACUCUACAUGCUUUCACAUAUAUCUGCUAAUUUAAUCUUGACAAUGUUUUGUUGUUCUAGGCAUUGUCCAGAGCUAGUGAGAGAGUCAUGACUUGGGCUCAACUCUGACUUCAAUGCCUAUGUCGUCUCUGCUAGACCAACACUGUCAGCAUCACCUGGUAGCAAUAAUUGGGCAGGUUGUUAGAGAUGCAGAAUUUCUGGCUCAUGUCGGAUCUUCUGAUCAAAAUCUAUAUUUUAACAAGAGUUAACAAGUGGACUGCAGUGCAACUCUGAGAAAGGAUGAUGGAGAUCUACACACCCUGGGAUACAACAAUCACCGAGAUACAAUUUAACAACGUGGUGGUGGAUGAGAUGGGAGACAUGCUUUAAGUAUUCAAAAUGAAAAACACCAGAACACAACCGUUAUUUUAUGAAAGAGGCUGGAAAAUGGUUAGUAAAGAAAUCACAGAUGUGUUUCACAGAAGAGGGGGAGGUGAGAGGAGUACUACAUUCUGAAAAUAGCAUGACAAGCACAAUAUAUUCCUAAUUUUGCUCAACGCAUUACUUUUGGGGUUUUCUGAACUUUA